UUCCUCGCUUCCAUGUACAUCUCAGAAAGACGCCUCGAGCCUUUGGAUUCAAAGAUUUUCUUAAUCUGAUAAUCAUGCUCAGGCAGCCAAGCAACAUAACUCUACAAUAUUACAUUUUGAAAAAAUUAGAGUAUAUUCAUUAAUAUUCACUAUAAAUGAACUUAGUUAAUGAGAAAUAUAAUCUUACACCAAAUUUUUGAUACCAUAAGUUCACUAUGUCUGGUGGAAUAUCUGACCAUUUGGCGUAUGCAUCUUGAUAUUUUUCUUGAAUUGCUUUGGUGAGGGCCCUGGAGGCCACCCUACAAGGUUCCCACCUACAAACAAUUUAUAAGCAAUAUGUAAAAUAUAUCAUCGAAGUAUACAAUGAAACAAUGACAAGUUAAAAUAAAUUAGUUCCAUACCCUCGGCCAUCUGGAUGAAUCAUUGGCCUCCCAUCACUCGCCUUCUCAUGGAUAGGACGAGAGUAUCGUGACCCCUGCGUCCUAUCGCCACUACCAACGGGUAUUGAAGGUGGUAGAUUUGCUGAAAGAGAAGUAUGUCGGGACGAAACAGAAGUCAACGGCUGUGAUGGAGAAUGUCGGGACGAAACAGAAGUCGACUUUUUGCCUUUCUUACAAACUCUUUAACACCAGAUAUAAAGGCGGGUUUCAACCCCCCUCUACGAGGGUUAAGUCUAUCAUAUACCCAACUACGAUCAGGUGGGUAGCCAUUCAUUUUCAAAAGANNNNNNACAAACACACAACUAUUUUUAUACUUUUACAGUAACAUACAUUAAGUUUGCUUAAUAAUUAAACUACUUUAGUGGCUCUGUGCUGAUCUACUAGAAAAUUUAGCAGCUUUUGUCAAAAUGGUUGUAAUAUAGAGGGAGACUAGACUGAGAAGAAGAGGAAAUAGAGGUAGAAAACUUGAUACAAGAGAGCAAGUGCUUCAUUGUAGAAGAAAUGAAGUUGUUGGAAACUUGGUGGGGGAAACACAGUAAUGGAUUAUAACUUUCUUCUAAGUAGAUUCUGAAUAAGCUGAAACUUGAUUGUACAAAUAAAUAGUAUGAACAACGAUCUCCAUGAUUAAGUUGAGUGUUAAUGCAAUUGUAGAAGCAAAAUUUGCAAAUGGUCAAAGGAUGGAUAAAUAUAUGCAAAUGAUGAGAAAAUGAUAGUUCUUUUUUUUAAUCGGAAAAUAUAAUGUUUUGGGAAAAAAAUGUACUGUAAUACUAAUAAUCUAUUGAUUUGUUUGCUUUUUACACCUCAACAUACUGAUAACGCUAACGUCUUAUUUCCAAGUUUGUGGCUGUUUUUUAAAGGCUCAAAGCAGCUUUAUAAAGACCAGUCUUUUUCUUGUCGACAAUGAAUGAUACAAUUGUACUACACAUUUGAAAAAAGAAUCUAAUCCCUCAAUUUUUACUCAGCAAAUCCUUAAUAACUUAGUUUUGAAUUACUCAACAAUAUUACUAAUUCAUGUGACUGUGUUGGUUAUUUUGGGACAUAGUGUUUUUGGGACAUAGUGAAAUUAAGUUACUAAAAAAAGGAUUUAAAGAGCUAAAAACAACCUAGACAGCAGCAAAAAGCUAGACCAUCAUCUUUCUCCAUCAAUUGAAACAUGGAUCAAAUCUUAUUGUAUGAAACCAAGACCAAAUCACAAAACAAUGCAGGAAAAUGCUAAAAAAAACCUAAACAACAGAUUAUAAAAUUCCAACAAAUUAACUAAGAGCAAAUCCCAUAAAAUUUCAUGUCUACCAACAACAACAAAGUUGAUUCUAACCUUCACAGAACAACAUUAUAUCAUUCAAGUAGAAGAAUAAGAAGAUUGAGAAGUAAGGAUUAAACUCACUGUUCGAAUUGAGAGGGAAGAAAACGGCGCUGCUGGGUCUUCGUAGUAGCUGAGACGGUCGCGCCGACUGAGUGGGUCGUCGGAGAUGAGAGCGAGACGGUGCUUGAGCUGCG
rnacentral:lncRNA from 1 species